rnacentral:rRNA from 1 species
CUCCUUGCACACACCGCCCGUCGUUUCAUCGAAGUUGGCCUUCAGUGAGGUAGUGUCUAAUUGGCAUUAUCGAGUUUGAGGUCAGUGACGAGGGAA